UGGGGAAUAUUGCACAAUGGACGGAAGUCUGAUGCAGCAACGCCGCGUGCGGGAUGACGGCCUUCGGGUUGUAAACCGCUUUUUCUCAUGACGAAGUUUUUUGACGGUAGUGGGGGAAGAAGCACCGGCUAACUACGUGCCAGCAGCCGCGGUGAUACGUAGGGUGCGAGCGUUGUCCGGAAUUAUUGGGCGUAAAGAGCUUGUAGGCGGUUUGUCGCGUCGAUAGUGCAAACUCAGUGCUUAACGCUGAGCCUGCUGUUGAUACGGGCAGACUAGAGGAAGGUAGGGGAGAAUGGAAUUCCCGGUGGAGCGGUGGAAUGCGCAGAUAUCGGGAGGAACACCGGUGGCGAAGGCGGUUCUCUGGGCCUUUCCUGACGCUGAGAAGCGAAAGCGUGGGGAGCGAACACG
rnacentral:rRNA from 1 species